CAAUAGCGUAUAUUAAAGUUGUUGCAGUUAAAAAGCUCGUAGUUGGAUUUCGGGGCAGCCUGGCUGGUCCGCCGCAAGGCGAGUACUGGUCAGCCGCCCUUCCUCUCGAAAGCCCCGACUGCUCUUUAUUGCUGUGGUCGGGUAGUUCGGGACGUUUACUUUGAAAAAUUAGAGUGUUCAAGGCAGGCCUACGCCUGAAUACAUUAGCAUGGAGUAAUGGAAGAGGACCUCGGUCCUAUUUUGUUGGUUUCCAGGACCGAAGUAAUGAUUAAGAGGGACAGUUGGGGGCAUUCGUAUUUAAUUGUCAGAGGUGAAAUUCUCGGAUUUAUGAAAGAGAAACUUCUGCGAAAGCAUUCGGCAAGGAUGUUUUCAUUGA
rnacentral:rRNA from 1 species